AUGAUCAUUGUAUCAAGGGACGGUGGAUUGACUUUUCGAAAAAGUCAGCUAGGGUUCCGGCGAGAUUCCGGUAACCCGGUUCAGUAGUUUGCAGUGAAUUAAACCGAAGUAAAAGCGUAGUGGAAUGUUUUGGGUCGGGGAACAGGACCAUGUUUUCGGUGGACAAUUAUUGUACCAUUUAGCCACUAACAGAAGAUCAUAAGUAAUGGAACUGGAAUGUUACAAUGUGAUAAUAAUGUCAUAUGAGACUGGGGCUAGGUUAGAGUGUCAGGUAAUACAAAGGAAAAAAUGGAAAUGGCAAGUUUGAACAUGGUUCUAGCACCACAAGAAGAAUGAAGAGAUAUCCGUGAAGUUGGUAAGGCAACAGUUAUGGAACUGGUUAGAUCUGAACCUACCAGCAAGUGAGUUCAAAUUGAAUAAAAUUGCAACUC
rnacentral:lncRNA from 1 species